CACGAACUGUGCAAACGUUAUUCGGAAUUACUGGGCUUAAAGAGUUCGUAGGCGGCUUGUUAAGUCGGGUGUGAAAUCCCUCGUCUCAACCGAGGAAUUGCGCUCGAAACUGGCGAGCUUGAGUGAGAUAGAGGUGAGCGGAACUGAUGGUGGAGCGGUGAAAUGCGUUGAUAUCAUCAGGAACACCGGUUGCGAAGGCGGCUCACUGGGUCUUGACUGACGCUGAGGAACGAAAGCUAGGGGAG
rnacentral:rRNA from 1 species